CCUACGGGAGGCAGCAGUGGGGAAUAUUGGACAAUGGGGGAAAGCCUGAUCCAGCAACGCCGCGUGAAGGAAGACGGUUUUCGGAUUGUAAACUUCUAUCAAUAGGGAAGAAAGAAAUGACGGUACCUAAAUAAGAAGCCCCAGCUAACUACGUACCAGCAGCCGCGUUAAUACGUAGGGGGCAAGCGUUAUCCGGAAUUACUGGGUGUAAAGGGAGAGUAGGCGGCAAGGUAAGCGAUAUGUGAAAGCCUUAAGCUUAACUUAAGGAUGGCAUAACGAACUAGCUAGCUAGAGUACAGGAGAGGAAAGCGGAAUUCGUAGUGUAGCGGUGAAAUGCGUAGAUAUUAGGAAGAACACCAGUGGCGAAGGCGGCUUUCUGGACUGAAACUGACGCUGAGGCUCGAAAGCGUGGGGAGCGAACAGGAUUAGAUACCCUAGUAGUC
rnacentral:rRNA from 1 species